rnacentral:rRNA from 1 species
UAGGGAAUCUUCGGCAAUGGACGAAAGUCUGACCGAGCAACGCCGCGUGAGUGAAGAAGGUUUUCGGAUCGUAAAACUCUGUUGGUAGAGAAGAACGUUGGUGAGAGUGGAAAGCUCAUCAAGUGACGGUAACUACCCAGGAAGGAACGGCUAAAUACGUUCCAG